rnacentral:rRNA from 1 species
AGCAGCCGCGGUAAUUCCAGCUCCAAUAGCGUACAUUAAAGUUGUUGCAGUUAAAAAGCUCGUAGUUGAAUUUCGGGGUUAGUAGGUUGGUCAUGCCUCUGGUAUGUACUGGUCUCACUGAUUCCUCCUUCCUGAUGAACCUUAAUGCCAUUAAUUUGGUGUUUUGGGGAAUUUGGACUGUUACUUUGAAAAAAUUAGAGUGUUUAAAGCAAGCUAACGCUUGAAUACAUUAGCAUGGAAUAAUGAAAUAGGACGUUCGAUCCUAUUUUGUUGGUUUCUAGGAUUGACGUAAUGAUUAAUAGGGAUAGUUGGGGGCAUUAGUAUUCAAUUGUCAGAGGUGAAAUUCUUGGAUUUAUUGAAGACUAACUACUGCGAAAGCAUUUGCCAAGGAUGUUUUCAUUAAUCAAGAACGAAAGUUAGGGGAUCGAAGACGAUCAGAUACCGUCGUAGUCUUGACCAUAAACUAUGCCGACUAGGGAUCGGAUGAUGUUAAUUUUUUAAUGACUCA